rnacentral:rRNA from 1 species
UAACUGCGCGUCGGAAUGUGAACUGCAGGACAUAUGAGCAUCGACACUUUGAACGCAUAUUGCGGGCGCUGGCUCGUCCACCGCCCAUGUCUGGCUCAGGGUCGGUUUUGCAUCCUUCCCAGGUGAAUUCCUGGGCAUUGGGCUCUCGCUUUGCCUUUCUGGCUCUGCGUGGCUUCAAGUUGCGAGCGUGUCUGCCUCUGACAAACUGCUCUGACUCUUGGGCUCGUCCCGGGUCUGGCAAGUCGGCGGCGACUCGUGCUGCUGCCGAAUCUAAUUGGCGGCGGCGACCACUCAAAUUUCGACCUGAGAGCAGGCAAGGUGACCCGCCAAAUUUAAGCAUAUUAAUAAGCGGAGGAAAAGAAAACAACCGUGAUGCCCUUAGUAAUGGCGAAUGAAACGGGCAGAGCCCAGCACCGAACCGCCGGCCUCCGGUCGCGUGGAAUGUGGUGUUUGGGGGAGCCUCCUCGCGACGUUCUGAUCCGUCCAAGUCCACCUUGACUGGGGCCACGGCC